rnacentral:tRNA from 1 species
GGAGAGGUCGCAUAGAGGCCUAGUGCGCUGGUUUGCUAAACCGGUAAGGGUUUUCCCUUCGAGGGUUCGAAUCCCUCCCUCUCCGCCA